UACGAAGGGUGCAAGCGUUACUCGGAAUUACUGGGCGUAAAGCGUGCGUAGGUGGUUCGUUAAGUCUGUCGUGAAAGCCCCGGGCUCAACCUGGGAAUGGCGAUGGAUACUGGCGGGCUAGAGUGCGGUAGAGGGUGGUGGAAUUCCCGGUGUAGCAGUGAAGUGCGUAGAGAUCGGGAGGAACAUCAGUUGCGAAGGCGGCCACCUGGACCAGCACUGACACUGAGGCACGAAAGCGUGGGGAGCAAACAGG
rnacentral:rRNA from 1 species